rnacentral:rRNA from 1 species
UUGAUUACGUCCCUGCCCUUUGUACACACCGCCCGUCGCUGCCCGGGACUGAGCCAUUUCGAGAAACUUGGGGACUGCUGGCUUGGUCGGGCUUCGGCUCGCCUCGUUGGUGGAAACCAAUUUAAUCGCAGUGGCUUGAACCGGGCAAAAGUCGUAACAAGGUAGCUGUAGGUGAACCUGCUGCUGGAUCAUUACACUAUGACAUAAUGGUCACACUACCUUUUCGACAAGCCCACAUGUGCUCUAUGGCUGCAAAAGAGCUCUGGGGCAACGCAACCAUUGCUACUAGUCUGUGUGUGCUGUGGUAGCGAAAACGGCUAACGCUGGUGUCUGUGUGUCGCUGAGCAGUUGUUGCCUGCUCGUCCGUGGCUGUGAUGAGGCGACACGGUAGAGCUGCUUUCCCUAUAUGGCUGGGGGAUUGCGGCCUAAGACUUAAUGAGCCCAUUGACUGGGGACGCCAGCAACCCUUUUUUCUUUCAAUAUUUUUUUUGCAAAUGAAAACGAAAAAUUCUAGCCUUAUCGGUGGAUCACUCGGCUCGUGGUUCGAUGAAGAACGCAGCUAACUGCGAUAGUUAGUGUGAACUGCAGAAACUUUGAACACAAAACUUUCGAAUGCACAUUGCGCCAUUGGAUCCACGUCCUUUGGCUCGGCUGGUUCAGGGUCGUAAACCAAACAAACACUGUGUCUGUGUGUGUUUCCCUCCACUGCUAUAGUGGAAUUGCUAGUGAAUGUCAACGGGCUAUCAGUUGAAUUCGCAUACAAACAUGAAAUUGAUGGUGUUGUUGGGCAGUGCUAAUAUGGCUGAUAAAAGCGUAUGAAUAUUUGGCUCGUUCAACGUUUAGCCUGACCCAACAGUGCCAUGGUUGUGUGUGCAAUUGCUCUAUGACUGUAAAAGAGCAGUAGCAGGCGACGCAUCAAUAUUUCGACCUGAACUCAGGCGAGAGUACCCGCUGAACUUAAGCAUAUCAGUAAGCGGAGGAAAAGAAACUAACGAGGAUUCCCUUAGUAACGGCGAGUGAAA